rnacentral:rRNA from 1 species
AUUAACGCUAGCGGCAGGCAUAAGUACAUGCAAGUUGAACGGCAGCACAGGUAGCAAUACCGGGUGGCGAGUGGCGCACGGGUGCGUAACACGUAUGCAACCUACCCUAUACAGGCGAAUAACCUUUAGAAAUGAGGGCUAAUACGCCGUGGUAUUAUCUUGGGGCAUCUUGAGAUAAUUAAAGAUUUAUCGGUAUAGGAUGGGCAUGCGUCCCAUUAGUUAGUUGGUAGGGUAACGGCCUACCAAGGCGAUGAUGGGUAGGGG